GUGCUCGCUCCGGCAGCACGUAUACUAAAGUUGGAACGAUACAGAGAAGAUUACCACGGCCCUGUGCAAGGAUGACAUGCGCACUCGUGAAGUGUUCCAUGUCUUU